UAUUCAACAUUGUCCAAAGAAGCAACGCAAUUACAAAAUGAGGAGCACAAUUACCAAAAAAGAUAGUAUGUCAAAAAAUGAGUUUCUCUACCUACAAUAGGGAUCGUGCAACUGGAAUCAUGUAUAAUACUUAAUUAAGAUCUUAUCCUCUUCUUGGAUCCCUCACCUUAUUUUAAAAUAGAUAUGUAUUUAGGACCUAAAAAUCACAAAGUCCUUAUCUUAUUCACAAGCCUCAACCUAUUUUAUAGGCGAAAAUUUUGUCAAAAAUCAAAAAAUACUUUUAAUCAAGAUAACUAAAUCUGUACAUAUAGAAGUUAUAGAUGUUCGUCUGUUGUCUUUUAGAGAUAUUAUCCAUGAGACUAUUCUUUUAGAUAUAAUAAUUAAAGAUCAUAAAA
rnacentral:lncRNA from 1 species